CGCGGAAGGGCUAUAAAAGCGAGAGUAACAGGGUCUCGUCUUCUGGCUCUAGAGGAAGAGAAACAAAUGUGGAAAACAGAAAAGGCCAAGUGGCAUCACAUCAACUCCUCUCUCAAUCAGUUAUCCUCUUAAUUUUACAGAUUAAGAACAAGUUUAGAGAGGUAAAGGGUAAAAUGGUUUGAAGGCACACACACCCAACCUUGUUCACUGCUGUUAUCUCCAGCAUAGAGAAACAGUGCAGCCUCUACAGAUACUGAAGUAAGGUCCAGAGGAAAGAAGGAGAGCUGUCUAUGGCCUCUUACCGUAUGGACACAGAUGGCUUCCCAUGCCAAACUCCUCUUCUGAUCUUCAGACCAGUGGGGCCAGAAGUUUGCUGAGCGUCCUCGGUGUCACCUUGUUACUGGAGUCCAAGCUUGCUCUGCUCGCCCCGGGACAGGCCAAUGACCGGAGACCAGGGGUUGAGGCAAGGAAUGCAACUUCAUUCGGAGAGCUGAUUGAGAAGCUGGUAGACUAUAUCUCAAAAUAACUACCUUGCCAGGUUGUUUUUAAUAGAUCAGCGAUGGGGGGAGGUGGACGGGGCUCUGAACAAAGGCACUUUAACAGUCAGGCAGAGGAGCAGGAUUCUCUGAGGCAGGGCUUACCAAUUAUUAUAAUAACAAGAGCAACGAAAAGCAAGUCUAAGAAACACCUCCAACAUGGAGUCAGAAUGGGCCUGCAACAACUUCACACCCAUAAAUUCAAG
ensembl:lncRNA